GAUGAACGCUGGCGGCGUGCCUAAUACAUGCAAGUCGAGCGAAUGGAUUAAGAGCUUGCUCUUAUGAAGUUAGCGGCGGACGGGUGAGUAACACGUGGGUAACCUGCCCAUAAGACUGGGAUAACUCCGGGAAACCGGGGCUAAUACCGGAUAACAUUUUGAACCGCAUGGUUCGAAAUUGAAAGGCGGCUUCGGCUGUCACUUAUGGAUGGACCCGCGUCGCAUUAGCUAGUUGGUGAGGUAACGGCUCACCAAGGCAACGAUGCGUAGCCGACCUGAGAGGGUGAUCGGCCACACUGGGACUGAGACGCGGCCCAGACUCCUACGGGAGGCAGCAGUAGGGAAUCUUCCGCAAUGGACGAAAGUCUGACGGAGCAACGCCGCGUGAGUGAUGAAGGCUUUCGGGUCGUAAAACUCUGUUGAUAGGGAAGAACAAGUGCUAGUUGAAUAAGCUGGCACCUUGACGGUACCUAACCAGAAAGCCACGGCUAACUACGUGCCAGCAGCCGCGGUAA
rnacentral:rRNA from 1 species